rnacentral:sRNA from 1 species
AUGAUUGUUUCAUUCCUGUCCUACUAUUCUACAAUCAUCUCGAUCUUCAACUACUCCAGCACUGCCCAAAAGAAUCCCGACUUUUUUUCUUCCGCGUUCAUCAUUUUCGCAUUUAUCAUCUCAAUUUUCUACGCUUUACUGGUGGGGGUUAUUUUUUAGUAAAAAAAUAAUCAUAUUUUUCUUACCGAAAUCUGGGAAAUAUUUAUAAUUAACCCCAAAUUUUUCCCUGAUUUCGAAAAUCAAUGUGAAAAAAAAAUAAAUAAAAAAUCCCUGAUUUUAUAUUUAAGCUUGAAAUGGCGAAUUUCGUUUGCGCCUAAGAAUUUUCUUCAUUUAAAUAUUUUAUUUAUUUUCGCCGAAUUCAAUUUUUAUCAGCCAGCUUCAUUAGUUUUUGUCGAUUUUGGUUUUUUUUCACCGGUUUUUUUCUGAAAAAUAUAUUUUUUCGACAAAAAUGAAUGAAACCGGUUAAAAAAUUGAAUUUGGCGGUAAUAAAUACAAUAUUUGAAUGAAGAAAAUCAAACUAUGCAAGCGCGCUCUAAUGCAAAUUUCUUUGGGCAAGCAUUUGAAAAUAGUGAUGCGGGCUCAAGCGAUUUCAAGCUUAAAUAUAAAAUCUGGAAAAUUUUUUUUUGAAUUUUUUCAUAUAGAUAUUCGGAAUCAGGGGAAAAUUUGUUUAUUAAAAAUAUUUUUCACAUAUUUCGGAUUUCCCCACCUUAUUAUUAGAAAAAUCCAAUAAUUUUCAGUUAGUGAUCCACUUUGCCACAUUGUACUACAUUAUGAUCUACCCGGUUAUUCCACUGUCGAUUUACACAGUAUCGAAUGCGAAUUACUCGACACUGAACUACGGGCAGCGAGGCGGAAGUGGAAGAAGCAAUCAUUAUGAGG